AGCCGCGUGGCUCAGUGGCAAGAGCCUGGCCUUGGGAGUCGGAGGUCAUGGGUUCUCAUCCCGGCUC
rnacentral:tRNA from 1 species